AAAUCAUGCUGGAGCAACUGACCCUCACCGACCAUGGAUCAACAAACAGCGCCGGAAUAUCUGGUUACUUGCAAGAUCUGAGCAUCUGGGAUUCCGGCUGUCCAGCUCUUCUCUGAAAAUGCUUAUCUACUGUAUGGAUAAUUAAAUCAUCAAUCAGAAGGGGUCGGACCUAUUGAUGCUUUUGUUCAAAGCCAAUCAGAUCCCACAGCAGAAGAUGAAGAUGCGAAACAUCUGGAAUUCAGAAAUGUUCCAAAGACUGUAGAUCAUUAAGCAAUUCUGAGCUCGAAUCCGCUGGGAGAAGUUUAGUGUCUGACGUCUGACAAGUCAGUCAGGGUUUAGUUUAUUCAUGUCUAAUGAACACGUACUUUGUAUUAUUAUUAUUAUUAUUAUUAUUAUUAUUAUUAUUAUUAUUAUUAUUAUUAUUAUUUGUAGUAGUAGUGGUAUGAAUAGUAGUGUCUAUAAUAAACAUAUGGUAGCAGUUUAUUAUAAUAAUAAUUAUUAUUAUUAUAAUAAUUAUUAUUAUUUAUUUAUUUAUUUAUUUAUUUUAGCAUAGGGCCUAUAUACGCGUUUAUAUAUUUAUUUAGAAUUUCAAGUCAGUAGUAAAAUUGCCAUCCCAUGUUUUAUAAAAGAAGCUGGAUUAAUUUACCUUUUAAUUACACUGUUAAAAUAGAGUAUUUGUUCGUUUGUUAUUCAUUGAUAUUUGGUUUGUCUGUUUAGUCUUUAUUUACAGGCAUGUACCAGAAGAAAUGCAACACGCUACAUUUCUGGGCACUCAGGGGUAAGUAGUACAAACCUUGAAACUUUCUUUAAAAAAUAGACAUUGCCUUUUAGUACGCAUUUUAAUCCCCGUUUCCGCACCGUCUACUCUGCUGCGUUAUGCGACCGUCCUAUUUACUUGAUGAGUUUGUAAAAGUAACCUACAGUAGCCUACAUCAUUUAUGUCUCGGAUUCGUUUUUCUCUCAGAAUUUAUAAAUAAUUUGAAAAGAUGAACGCUUGUGUUCCGUACCGCACACAGGUUACAGAUGGACUGAUUAAAUCCAUGUGUGCACCAAAUGGGGUUAAAUUAAAAACAGCAUCGGCGACAUGGACACCCUGACAUUAGCACACUCCGCAGUGCAAUCCCUCAGUUAGCAGCUUGUUAAUUAACCCCUUCCACAAGUAACUUCGCUCUCUUUUCGUUUGGAUAUUAUGUAUGGUGAGAAACGGAAUUGCCUUAUAAUGAACCUAACGGGACCCUGUAGUCACACUGUUCUUAAUUAUUUUUUUAAUGGGCAGUGAACGCAUCCCUCUCUCACUGUUUGGAAUAACUGAAUCGAUUGCGUUAAAUAUCCUGUGUAUAUCGGCCUUGUGACGAUUUUAGUGUUAGGCUACAAACAUUGUAAAUACCAGACUUUUGGUGAAGAAGAGAUAAUAGUCUUUCGCUGUAUGUAUAGUUCCUUGAGUGUUUUACAGUAUAUUAACAUAAUAAAGCAAAGUAUUUCAAGGCAAGUAUAAAUACAUAAUACUUGCAUACCACUGCAGGAAAUACAAAUACUUUGAUAUUAAAUUAAAGCCUAUAAUUAAAGUUAUAUUUUAAUGGUUUACAAACGUGAUGCAGAAAAUAAAAUAUCCAUCUGAAUGUGUAACAAAUUGCCUUUAUACCAUAUUUCCCCCAGAUUGUAUAGGUGUAGGCCUAUGUGCUAGAUUUUACAGGUAUGCAGUUGUCUUGAUGUGGAGCAGUUUGCAUGUACAUGAUAUUGUGGCUUAUACUAUAAAUAAACAUUAAUAUAAUUUUGA